AAUGAACGCUGGCGGCGUGCCUAACACAUGCAAGUCGGAUGUGCCGCAAGGUGCAUGGCAGACGGGUGAGUAACGCGUGGGGAAUCUACCUUUUAGUGGGGAAUAACGAUCCGAAAGGAUUGGUAAUACCGCAUGAGAUCCAUGGCUGGGAUGCUGUGGAUGAAACCCGGGGACCGCAAGGCCUGGGGCUAGAAGAGGAUCCUGCGUCUGAUUAGCUAGUUGGUGGGGUAACGGCCUACCAAGGCGACGAUCAGUAGCCGGCCUGAGAGGGUGAUCGGCCACACUGGAACUGAGACACGGUCCAGACUCCUACGGGAGGCAGCAGUGGGGAAUUUUGCGCAAUGGACGAAAGUCUGACGCAGCAACGCCGCGUGGGUGAUGAAGGUCUUCGGACUGUAAAACCCUGUCGUCAGGGACGAAGGUAGUCCGGUUAAUAACCGGAUUGCUUGACGGUACCUGGAGAGGAAGCCCCGGCUAACUCUGUGCCAGCCGCCGCCGUAA
rnacentral:rRNA from 1 species